UCCAUAAAACAUAACAUUUACUUACCUAAUCUGUCACGUAGUAGCGACUACGGCAAAUUAGCUGUACUCCCGUAGUAGACCGUUACAAUGUACACGUCACGAAGUAGCACUGAAAGUCGCGCGUGCGCAAUGGCACUUUAUUUGCCGUUGCCGUUCCAUCAGCUGUUGUUGCUUAAAGUCCCUAAUCAAACGCUGCAGGGAGGGAGUUACCAUGGAAACGGGGCGGCAACUCUGAACACUCCAACUGACAGCUGCAACACUGCAUCUCUCACUGCUGUUUUCACCGUUUUCAGGAGUAACACUUCUACAACAGAAGAGAAGCUCCAAGAUAUCUAAAUUUCUGAAGGAAGCUGCUGACAGAGAUGUGGGAAACAUAGGUUUCCCAUCCCAGUGUUACUACAGCUUGGAUCCAGCCUCACUUGUGGUUACUUCAGAUGAAGACCCCCAGAUGAUGGCAACUAUAGAUGAACAUACCAACCUGACAAAUGUUAUGUAUUGUAAUCAUUGCCUUAAAGCAUACAUCGAGUGAUUUUCAACCCACUUUGUAUUGUUACUAUGAUGGCAAUAUAUGUGAACGAACAAGGUUUAAUCUUUCUCUGAGUUCCAUGAGAUAUUCCCAUUUAUUUGUCAGCCAAAUAAUAUUUAGCAUUAUCCGAGUAUUGUUUAUUUACAUAUUACAGACUUUGUGACAGUAUAAAGUGGGUUUAAAUUCACCGAACUUACCCUUUAAUGUUUGUCUGUUUAACUGAACAUGACUUUGAACACAUAACUUGUAUUAUCUUAGAGUUAUUGGCAUAUAGACAUUAAUUUGUUGCCAGAAGAUGCUCCCCAUUGAUUCACAGUCACCUCAGGCUGUUGAUAGGAAUUUUUUUUUGAAACCUUUAAUUUUUCUAAAGCUGCUUUGAUUGUGAAACGCAUUGUACCCUUACAACAGUUAACCAUGUUUUUACUAUGGUAAAACUAGUAAUCAUAAAUUUAGUAAUCAGGGUUUUUUUUUUUGUGGCCCGCUGGUCUUAUGUUAGCUGGGGAAUAACGCUAACGUUAACCCCGCACAGCGACAGAUCAAAUAUCACAUUAACCGUGAAAUCAGUGUGCUCAUCUUACCACAGCUUAUUAAAAAUAGAGGUAAAUAAUCAUAUCAUCAUAUUAAUUUACCUUAUAAUCCUGCUUGCUGCGAGCUGCGUGACCGUCUGACUACGAGACGAGUGAAGGAUCCAGAAAGUUUGAUGAAGAGGAAAAAUAAACAAACCGGUUGGGUCAAAAUAACCCAACCCAGGUGUUCAGUGGUGAAAGAACCCCUUGCAGUCCAUUUGACCCAGCAUGAACAACCCAACUGUGUGUUUACAGUACCUCAAACAACCCAGAAUUAUGACCCAGCACAAUUAACCCAAAAA